rnacentral:tRNA from 1 species
GGUAAUAUAAUUUAAUUAAAAAUAUAAAGAUUGCAAAUCUUUAGUUGUGAUAAUCACUGUUACCU